AUGGGCCAUGGUCCGCGCGCCGUCACCUCGUCCUCCAGGCACCGACCUCUCCCUUUCUUCCGUUCUUCUUUUCCUGUGAUUCUGGGCAGAGCUCUCGGCAGAGCAAGUGCUGAUAACGUGUUGAAUGUAAAUGAGAAUGAAUCGAACUUCUAUCUUUCAUUGAUCAUCGGAUGGUAUUUAUACAAGGCUUUGCGUCUCUUGGCAAAGUCGGUUACAAGGAGAAGGCGCUUGUUCGGUGAUCACAGGCGUCUGUACAAUGAGAAGGCGUCCGUAUGGACACAUGCGUCCGUACGGGGCUUUGGGCAUACAAACCGUCUAUUACGGUUAUAA
rnacentral:rRNA from 1 species